CGGUGGAGACCGCGGGUGCGGUG
rnacentral:miRNA from 1 species